UAGCAUUCCCUUCUGUGUGUGAAAGGAAGACGUGGCUCAGGACAGUGCCCAGGUUUGCUCAGCACGAGGCAUUGCAAUGCAAACAGGGCUCAGCCUUCCAGCACCCUCACUGCUCCAAUCUCCUGGGUGGGCAGCUUUGAGGAGCUCAGGAAUGUACAUUAACACACAAAGCCACCGUGGCUCCUGCAGAAAUGCCUGAAAGGCAAUGAAAGAAAUGCCCCGAGCCGGGACUCUGCUCGGCUGCGGGAAGCGGAGCGCGGAGCGCGGCGUGGCCGUGGCUCAGGGCGGGGAGCGCAGGGCAGCCGGAGCUUCACCUGUGUGGGGAGAGGAAGGCAGGGCAGCCGGGGUUAUGUAAGCAAAUUCCCGGCUGGAAUGUGCAGAAUGUACACAGAGGGUGUGCCGGGCAGGGAGCUGGGGGCCAGGGAAAAGCCUCGCAGCCCAUGGGCAACAGGUUCCCUGGCAAGCAAGAGGCGUUCCCAAAAUACAGCUCGUGUUCUCUGCUCUGGCGGACCUCGCACUCAGAGACACAAAAGUCAUCAGAUGCAGUGAACUAUUUAAUGAUACUAAGAUAAUCGUGAAUAAAUCAGUCGACAUUUCUUCAGUGGCCUCAUCUCCUUCCUGAAAGGCAAGACUUCUGCAAUUGUUGGCAAAAAUAGUGCAGGCAAGAUAUACAAUCAAAGGUGGCACUUGAAGGAACCAAACCCAACUGGUAAAGGUAUUGAAACAGUGUCCUCUUCAGGAGCAGGAUGUUGGGUGGACUCACCAAGCAGCUCUGUACUAAGAAAUUGAGAAGAGAAGCAUUACCAGGAACUGGACACAGACAUGCAGGUUCACAGGUUUCUCUGAAGCCCUCUCACACCAGCUCUGGGCAGAACACGGUGUAGGAUUGGACACUAAGUGCUUAAAUCCUGCCAUGAGAGUAAACACAAGAGGGGGCAAGGGGCUGCACAGGCACCUGGUCAGGGCAAGAAGAAAAGGUGGUUUCUCAUUUAAGAAGACACUGUAUUCAGCUUAAUGGAAUGGUUUUCCAGCCUCUGAGUGUUCUCCCUUCACAGAAAAAUUAAUCUCAAAGUAGUAACUGCAGCAAACCCAGCAGUGGAAAGAGCAAAUGGCCAAAGCUAAGAGUAGGCAAUGGUUUUGAACUUGCAUCCAGUUGGGGAAGAGAAACGGAAUUCAACUCUGCCAGCAAACUCACGACUUGGUAAAGGCUUUGUUGAAAAUCUUGCAGAGAAAUGAUUGACCACAAAAUUAUGUAUCAUGUUAAAACCAACAGUAACAACCACUAAUAGCCCGUUCUGAAGGGCCUAUAAUACUAAAAUAAUAAUGAUAAUUUUAAAAUGUAAGUAAAUCUGGGCAAUUGUAUGCACACACAAUGGAAAAGACUAUUUUCCUAUGAUAUUCAUCUCAAGAGGCAACAUCAACAUUUUCACUCACUGGCUUCAGGAACCACAUCAGGAAAUCAAACAAAUAUUAUCCUAUUUGUGCAGAGAACGUCUUUCUUCUUGUAACAAGCAAACAAAAAUUAUUUUCUUAAUAAACAUUCAACAGACAAAAGCACUACUGAGAAAGAUCAUAAGAGUAAGAAAAAAACCUGUGAUAUU